UUUCCGUAGGUGAACCUGCGGAAGGAUCAUUAUUGAAUGAUACACUUCGGGCUUUAUGCUGUUGUUCUGGCCCUUUGUGCAAUGUGAACACGGCUCUGGUCACUUGUUUCUUCUGUUCUACCUGUGCACUGCCUGGAGACACGUUGUGUCUAUGAGAUUUGUUACCACACAACAAUGUUACUUGGCAUCUUAUAUAUAAUAAGACAAUAUACAACUUUCAACAACGGAUCUCUUGGCUCUC
rnacentral:misc_RNA from 1 species